GUUAAUGAGGCGAACCGGGGGAACUGAAACAUCUAAGUACCCCGAGGAAAAGAAAUCAACCGAGAUUCCCCCAGUAGCGGCGAGCGAACGGGGAGCAGCCCAGAGCCUGAAUCAGUGUGUGUGUUAGUGGAAGCGUCUGGAAAGGCGCGCGAUACAGGGUGACAGCCCCGUACACAAAAAUGCACAUACUGUGAGCUCGAUGAGUAGGGCGGGACACGUGGUAUCCUGUCUGAAUAUGGGGGGACCAUCCUCCAAGGCUAAAUACUCCUGACUGACCGAUAGUGAACCAGUACCGUGAGGGAAAGGCGAAAAGAACCCCGGCGAGGGGAGUGAAAAAGAACCUGAAACCGUGUACGUACAAGCAGUGGGAGCACAGAGCAAUCUGUGUGACUGCGUACCUUUUGUAUAAUGGGUCAGCGACUUAUAUUCUGUAGCAAGGUUAACCGAAUAGGGGAGCCGAAGGGAAACCGAGUCUUAACUGGGCGUUAAGUUGCAGGGUAUAGACCCGAAACCCGGUGAUCUAGCCAUGGGCAGGUUGAAGGUUGGGUAACACUAACUGGAGGACCGAACCGACUAAUGUUGAAAAAUUAGCGGAUGACUUGUGGCUGGGGGUGAAAGGCCAAUCAAACCGGGAGAUAGCUGGUUCUCCCCGAAAGCUAUUUAGGUAGCGCCUCGUGAAUUCAUCUCCGGGGGUAGAGCACUGUUUCGGCAAGGGGGUCAUCCCGACUUACCAACCCGAUGCAAACUGCGAAUACCGGAGAAUGUUAUCACGGGAGACACACGGCGGGUGCUAACGUCCGUCGUGAAGAGGGAAACAACCCAGACCGCCAGCUAAGGUCCCAAAGUCAUGGUUAAGUGGGAAACGAUGUGGGAAGGCCCAGACAGCCAGGAUGUUGGCUUAGAAGCAGCCAUCAUUUAAAGAAAGCGUAAUAGCUCACUGGUCGAGUCGGCCUGCGCGGAAGAUGUAACGGGGCUAAACCAUG
rnacentral:rRNA from 1 species